rnacentral:rRNA from 1 species
GACGAACGCUGGCGGCGUGCCUAAUACAUGCAAGUAGAACGCUGAAGGAGGAGCUUGCUUCUCUGGAUGAGUUGCGAACGGGUGAGUAACGCGUAGGUAACCUGCCUGGUAGCGGGGGAUAACUAUUGGAAACGAUAGCUAAUACCGCAUAAUAUUGACUAUUGCAUGAUAGUCAGUUGAAAGGUGCAACUGCACCACUACCAGAUGGACCUGCGUUGUAUUAGCUAGUUGGUGGGGUAACGGCUCGCCAAGGCGACGAUACAUAGCCGACCUGAGAGGGUGAUCGGCCACACUGGGACUGAGACACGGCCCAGACUCCUACGGGAGGCAGCAGUAGGGAAUCUUCGGCAAUGGACGGAAGUCUGACCGAGCAACGCCGCGUGAGUGAAGAAGGUUUUCGGAUCGUAAAGCUCUGUUGUAAGAGAAGAACGAGUGUGAGAGUGGAAAGCUCACACUGUGACGGUAUCUUACCAGAAAGGGACGGCUAACUACGUG